CAUAUCAAAGUUCAUAAAAAAAAAUAAAAGAAGACAAAAUUAAACAAUUAAUUAAAAAAAAAGAUAAAGGAAGAGGAAGAAGCUCUUGCACUAUUGCAGUUUAUAUAUAUUUUUAUAUAUCCAUCGUCGCGUGGGAAGGGCAAGGAGAAAAGGGAGAGGCAAGCCAUCGUCGAUUCCGGCGGCUUCUUCGCCGUGGCGCCGAGGAACAUAGGAAAAAGGUGAAUCCAUAGGAUAAGGGCAGCGAGAAGCGGCGAUUUUGGCUUGGGGUACUCUUCCGAGGGACAGACAUCCGUCAGGGUCGUCAAGGAGCUCGAGAUGGAGAAGGGCGCUGAUCCUUUCCAAGGCAACACCGCCUUGGCCGCCGUCGUUGUCAUCACGCCUGUCUGGCUUGUACGAACAGUGCAGUCCUUUUUCCAGAAUGAAGCAGGUUUAUUAAGUUUGCUGGUGGCAGACAGAUCUUACAUAUAUGACUUCUAAAGGCUCCCGGUAGUGACUGAACUUUUCUAUAUGCAAAUUAUUAUGCUAUAGGGAAAUCCAUCAGCAUGGCAAAGUUCUACAUUUCAAGAAAAUUUCAAAAACUUCAUUUCCAUCAGACUAGCCGCUAGAGCAUAGUUUAUCGGUCUGGUUUCAAGUGGCUCACGGUCUUUUUCUCAUCAUGUUCCAGAAUUGGCUGUGGGCAAGAUGUAUCCUCAUGAGGAUGGGAUGUAUCCUCCCAAAUAUUUGCAUCAUCCAUCAAAGAUUGGAGUGUUAAAUGUUACUGCUGGUUUGGAUUUUCAUGCAGAGUUAAACGAUCCAGCUUACGUUUUGAUAUAGGAUAAGUUUUGCUGCUUUAAGUGUAAAGAAUUCAUCCAGUUGUCCCAAGAAAUAUUGAGCAUAUUAUGGAAUACUUCAGGAACUGGUUUGCCAAAGAUUGGAGUGUUAAAUGUUACUGCUGGUUUGGAUUUUCAUGCAGAGUUAAACGAUCCAGCUUACGUUUUGAUAUAGGAUAAGCUUUGCUGCUUUAAGUGUAAAGAAUUCAUCCAGUUGUCCCAAGAAAUAUUGAGCAUAUUAUGGAAUACUUCAGGAAAUGGUUUGCCAAAAGAUAAAUUUCUUCUGAGGAUGGUGAGGUUGGGUAGGGAUUCAGAUAGUGUUUCUAUUGAUCAAGAUAGCCCUGAUGAUGUUGUGGGAUGAUAGUAGCAUUUAUGUAUCUAAGACUUGGUGAAGCAGAAUAUGAUAUGAAAGUUCCUUGUGGUUUCUAUGAUAAGGCCAGCAAUGUGCACUUUUCAUGUCCUCAACAUUCAAAUGAAUGUCAUCUGAAGAACUGAUUUCUGUGAUUUACCAUUGUCAAUAUUCCUUGUGGUUAUUUUUAGAUGGUCAAGUGUGUGCAUUUAUCACGUCUUCUAGAUCCAAAUGAACAUCAACUAGAGAACUGUUUUCUGUGAUUUACUGUUGGUUAGUUUACAUGUUUUCUACUGAAUAAUAUGUGGGAAAUCAGUUUAUAUAUUUAUUGGGAAGUACAAACUUAAACCUGUGGAUCAGAUUUUGUGGAUUCAAACUGGAUGCACAUGGCCGAACAAAUUAGUUUUCAGGAUUUUUCUACAUGUAUCAUCAAUGAAAUUGUAUCCAGAGAAUUACUGCCAUCGAGCACCAUGUUCAAGUGAAUCUUGUCAUUGGAUGCUUGCUGAAGCAUCACCAGCAGCAGCUACUAAAUCUAUAAGUUGAGUAUCAAUUAACUGGCCAAAAGCAGUGUUUUGAACUGAGGUGCCUUUUUCUGUUCAUCUUACACCACAUGCCAUCAUAAUCUAUUUGGCAGGAGAGCAUCAUACAGUUUGGUGUGGAAAGUUAAGGACUAACAAACUAUUCAAAUGGAUAUCCAGUGGUCACUUGAUCUUUUCUUAUCAAUUGCUGCAGGACCAUUGUUAGUAAUUGCUGAUGGGUGGUUCCAGUGAUUUGGAUUCACAACCAUCACUGUGAAACAAAUAGCAGUUGUAAUGUGCAAGCACAUUUGUUUGGCAGCCUCUAUGCCAUGGCUAGUAGUUGUGCUCAUAGGACCAUGAUUUGUCUUAAUUAUGACAUCGUAGGUAAGCUUCAAAGUAGAGGUGGAUCUUGUCUGUUGAAUCUCAGAUGUGCAGUUUGGAGCUUUUUAAUUUGGUGGAACCAUUUGCUGUGCAGAUAGCUGCUAACAGAUUAAAAAAUGUUAAAGGAUUAUGUUGGUGAUAGAUGAUCUGACAGAGUAAUUGGUAUGUGCAAAAGCUUCUUAAAAGGAAAUCCUGUACCAUGAGACAUUCAAAUUAUAGUGGUUCCUACAAGACAAAUGGUGCUCUCUUCAUCCAACCGGGAGGAACUGGAAAUCAGAUUAUCCUGCAACACUGGGCAUUUUUAUGUUUUGUACAAGUUCUUGGGAACAUCAGUCUGUGUGGAUAAUUAUCAAGAGCCUUUCCUGAUACAUUGGACUUCCCCACAGAUAUCACCACCAACACAUGCUAUAUACACCAGAAACAAAGUAUGCCAGAUGCACACAUUUUUCAUGCAUACAAUUUUACAGUAUAUCUCACAUAAUUUUGCAGGUACCAUCCAAUAACUUCAACUGAACUUUCAUACGUAUUAGCUUGUGGUGGAUGCUAUUCAUAAAACUGAAUCAUUAUGUGCAUGCCUGAUUUAUGGUUCACUUGUGUUAUUUAUCAUCAUCUUGAACAUCAACAUGUUCUACUCCCUUUGCCCAUUCUACUUUCUUGACAUGGUCUCUCAUUGUUGACGGAUUUUUUUUUUCCCUGAAGUCAAUUUUAUGGGCAUACUGUGGGCAUAUUAUUGUGGGCAUAGUAGUCUACAGGAGAUACAAUCAGGGUCCAUAGGAAGGCUUUUUAGCCAUUACUGUGGGCAUAUUCGUCAACAGGAGACACAAGGAUUUCAUUUUGUUGCUUGUUGAUCCUUUGUUUCACAACAAUUGAUUUUUUAGCUUGUUUGACUCUGCUGUCAAGUCACAUGCUACAAGCAGUAUUGAUCUGUGCCUUUUAAUAUCUAAAUAGUUAACCGGAUUGAUAUUAGGCUUGUUAGGAGCGUCUGAGACCCUUGGUUUUGUUCGCUGGUGGGCCACCUGUUUUUUCUUUUCUAACAUAAUCUCUGGUUUCUUUUGUAUUUAAUUUUCAAUAGCUGGAAAAACACGACCAAGCUGACCUAACUGAACUGGAAUGUCCAUCUCAGUCGAGGUUGCACAUUUACUGGUCAGGUUUCGAGCUGUUACCAUAUUGGUAGUGUAUAUGGUGUAUAGCUGGGUUUAUUCAGAUAACUCAUGAUGAAGCCAAAACAUUUUCGUGUUUUUUGGGUCAAAAUAGUAUUCUUUACUCUCUCAUAAGCUUCAUAAAAAAACUGCACAAUCGUUCCUUGGCAUUAAAUAUAUUAGUAAAAGUGCUAAUAUUUUGGGCGGAAAUGGGGAGAAUAGGAAGUGCUGAACAUAGGAAAAAGGAAGAAAUAGGAAGUUAUGAACAUGAGAGAGAGAGGGUAGAAUUUGGUGAAGAAGAGAAGAGGGGGAAAAGGCCCGAUCCCGUCUACUCAUCUUAUUUCUCUGGUCCCGGCAUCAUUUGAUCUAUAUAACCUCCGAGUAUAGCACAUCAUUUGGUCUAUUCAGCUCUGUUCUGAGAGUCCAAGUUAGGUCUAGAGAGAGAGAGAGAGAGAGAGAGAGAGUAGAAUUUGGUGAAGAGAAGAGGAGGAAAACGCCCGAUCCCGUCUACUCAUAUUUCUCUGGUCCAGACAUCAUUUGGUCUAUAUAACGUCCGCGUGUAGCACAUCAUUUGUUCUAUUCAGCUCUGUUCUGAGAGUGCAAGUUAGGUCUCACGUGCACGUCAAUUCGGUGCACGUGUCUUCUGUAGUCUUUUGAUUUGGGGGCUCAUCUGCGACCAUCUGAACUAGUUUUCUCAUGUCAUUCAUUCGGUGCACCGAUCGUUGGAGGGUAAAUGGUCAGUUUCUGUAAAUUUGAAAGCAAUCAGCUUCUACUGAAACAUAUAGAUCAGAAGAAAAAGCAAAAACACUUCAUUACUCUGUAUUAGUUUCGGUUAUCCAAACGACAUGUAUACUGUACAGUGUAGAACACACAGAAAUAUAAUAUGCUCAAAGGGAUUAAACAGCAUUACCGAGACUUCACCUCAAGAGCCCGCAUCAUGCCGUCAAGUACUUCUUUUCACAGCCAUCCGUGUCGCCGUAACCAUCGCUGUCGAAGACGAACAGUGCGCAGAAGCCGCCGGAGACAGUGAACCCCGCCAUGCACCAGACGAUGACCGCCACGGCCGGUGGCAUGACGGCGGCCACGCGGUAGCUGAACAUGGCUACGAGCAAAGCUGAGAGGCACCACACCGCCUUCUUGAGGUUCUUCCUCAUCUGGACUGCCGCCUCGGGGGUUCUCUCGAAGAGGCGGAGGCAGUAGAAGAGCGAGAUCAAGUCCGCGUACGAUGCGACGACGAAGGCGGCAUUCCCGGGGUCGUCCGUGGAUCGGUACAAGGCCAGCAGGAAGUUGUAGGUGAGGAUAGCGAGCACCAACACCCGCAUCCACGGGAAGCCGCCGUGCUCCCCAAGAUUGUCUGCCUCGGCAGCAAGUAAGCCGGCGGCGCCUCCAUCGCCCUCGGUGCGUAUAGGAUCGUUGCUGGCGCCUGUUGCUGUCGACAUGAAACAGAGCAAAAAAGAGA